GCGUCAAUGGUGUAGUCGUUAUCAUACCUUCUUUGGGUGGAGGUGGUCCUGGGUUCAAAUCCCAGUUGACGCC
rnacentral:tRNA from 1 species